AUACUGUAGUUUCUGGACUAUAAGCCGCUAUUUUUUUUUCACACACUUUGAACCCUGAGGCUUAAACAAUGAUGCGGCUACUUUUACGGCUACCGGAGAAGUGGCCAGUUCUUUGAUGAUCAAAAGGUGCACAUUCUAGCCAGAGAGGACAAAUGAUCUGAGAGAGGAGUGAAGGAAGCCAUCCAGAUAAAACUGUAAAGAUCACCUUUGAACACAGGAGGGGGCCUCAGACACCAAUUGUCACCAACAUACAAUGCCGUCCUUAGUUCUCUCCCCAGGAAGUACAGGCAUAACUCACACCUCCAUUCAGGUAACACUAAUGACCCCCACCCAGAGGACAGGGAGAGGGAACGAUCCCUAUGGGGCCAACGACUCACAUGACCAUUUAAAGGUCAUAUUGUUUCAGGCUCUUGGACAUUUUUUUCGACACCACACCCCCUUUUCGGGUGGAUAGAUAAAUACCUAGAAACUCUCCACCAGGACAGUAGAACUGAUGAAGCCUCUUGGAUGAGAGGCGUCUUCAAUUUACUUGAGGUGAGUCCAGUUGCCUACUUUUAAAAUUGCUUUUAAGAUUGUUAUUUUGACCUAGAUGACUGAAAAUAUCCACAAAAUUUGGAGAAAGAAAACCAGGUACAUGCCCAAGUCUAUCCUACACUAAAGAAGCUACAGUGCCUUUUAAAAAGGUUUUAAAACAAAGGCUGUACACUGUGGUAAGCUAAAAUUAGCUGACUGGAUUCCGGUAACCCUUCCUCACCAAGUCUUCAAAACGGGUCAUGUCAAAAGACAGACAUCAGCCACUGAAUUUAAGUUGAUAGUCUUAGACCUUGGGAUCCCAAAGUGCAAUCCCAAUCUCGGGUCGAACUCUGGCUCUUCUUUACUGACUGAACAAGGUCCAAGGGUAAAGGCAGAUUUACACUUGCAGGUACACACCCCAGGUCUGGAUAUAUGUCAUGGGUCAAAGUACUCCUACAGUCAGAUUGAAGAUUUCUCUGGAGAAUGGUGUGGAUUCCCCACUGUCACAGGCUGUUGGGUCCCUGUAGUCACAGAGACUUGAGGAAGACUUGUUUGUAGGGAUAGUUUGGACUUCGCCAGGGCUGCCCCAGCCAAGAGGGGAGAGAGGAUCUCAUUAGUAAUUUAAGAAACCAUCUCUGUUAUCUGUGACUCUGCAAGGCUCUCAACUCUGACUGGUGUGGUUUGUCCUAGUGUUUAGUACAGGAAUAGGAAUCAGCACAUAAUCAUUUUAUGACCAUAGACCUCUGCUGGAAACAGGUGGGAUGUUCACUCAGAGUCAGGGAAGAGCAACUACUCCUAGUCUACUCCUACUUUAUCUAUCUCUAAAGUCCUAUACGUCCAUUACUCUGGAGAAAGAUCGGCGUCAGAGCAAUGGGUGUAUAGGACUUUGGACUUUGUCACACUUGCUAAUACAGGAAUUCAGUAAAAUGUGUCAGUCCAUGACUUGGAGCAUCGCUCAACUACGUGUUACAGAGUCGUAACUUUACAGGUCUGUCACAAUGGUACCUAGGCAACAGAUAUGAAGAUAUGACUCGAUGAGCAAACAAAAAUUAGGAAUUAAAUAUGCCAAGCCUCCUCAAUAGCUAUCCUUCAUGUGUUGUUUUGGGGAAGGGCCAAGAAAAGAGAUAUUUGGGCUUUACUGUUGCUCAGAUAAUUUGCCCAUAUUUCAAUAACAUAUUUUUUACUUUAAAUAGCAUUAAAAUAGGUUUAAAAAGCCAUGUUUUGGCAGCACUUCAAGAUAUACAGUGGAAUUUUGAGAUACAAGUAUAAUCCAUUCCAGGACCAAGCUCGUAACUCAAGGUGCUCAUAUCUUGAAUCACGUUCUCCAAUAAAAAAUAACAAAAAAUAAAUAAAUCGUAAUCCGUUCCGGGAAAAAACAUGUUUUAAAUGGCUAUAGAGACAUACACAUGUGCACACAAAAUUAUAAUAUAUAAGGAUUUGUGUGAUAUAAAAUAAAUGUGGUUUUAAUUAUGAGUUCUUAUCUUCGAGACAGAUACAGUAAUAGCGGCAUGUGCGGAGGAGGGAGGAAGGGAGGGAAGAGAGUUGGCUCGUACGUAGACACUAGAGGCAAAAAUUUGCUUAAUGGCUGGCUUGUAUCUCAAAAUACUCGUAUGUCGAGGUGCUCAUAUCUCGGGGUUCCACUGUAUUUCUAAAUUACAGACAUGACAUGUUUGAAGGUAAAACACUUCUAACCUUUCAAAAGAAACUUGCCACAGACCUAUGGCUAUACGUUUUUCUGGACACAAUCAAUAAGUUCUGUUAUCACAGCUCCGUUGGGACCAAACCCUCAGUGGCUUCCUCCCCUUCCUUCCUUAUAAUGUUAUUAGUGACAAUCUAGUUGUAGUUCCUCAAGUGCUGACAUAAUAUAGCGGCUGUUCAUUUGGUGCUGUGCUUAAUGAGCAGCUGUUGUUGAUAAAAGAGGCCUAAAAGGUGAGUGUAGCAGCAUAGGCGGGGCUACAUAAAAUGGAGGCGGGGCUAUUAUAACCACAGUUUGAAGACAUUUCCAGAUGAUAAAAACUACUAAAUCUUCAGUUUAGCAUUUAAUUCACACACAACACAAAUAGUUUUAGCUUUUGGAUACUAUUUUAUUCUUUGAAAGAAUGGACAUGUAUUUGUACUUAUUAUAAUAAAUUAAAGUAAGACAACAUAUAAAGACAAAUGUAGAAAUGUCUGAAUGCAUCAAACAAAAACAAAGAAAUGUUGUCAUUUAAUGCAUAAGCACAGACAAAAAGAUGUGUUGCGUAGCUACACAAAUGACGUCACUUCAUCACAUCUUCAUGCCACACAGUCAGGUAUUAUUGUUAGUUAUUGAUUAAAGUAACAGUAACGUGAUCAGAUUUGCAGUAAGUGGCUACAAGCAUACACAUGAAAAAAUGUUAUUACGAGACUGCACCAAAAUUAAUAUACAGACAUGGUAUGAU